rnacentral:snRNA from 1 species
GUGCUUGCUCCAGCAGCACAUAUAUUAAAAUGAGAACAAUAUAGAGAAGAUUAGCAAGAUCCCUUUGCAAGGAUGACAUGCAAAUUUGUGAAGCAUCCCAUAUUUUG